rnacentral:lncRNA from 1 species
CUUUGGGGUCCCGUCGUUUUGGGGUCCUGUUGCUUUGGGGUCCCAGCAUUUCGGGGCACCAGUGGGGGGGGUCCCAGCAUUUCGGCUCCCGCAGUUUUGGGGUAUGGGGGCCCCAAAGCUUUGGGGUCCCAGAGUUUCGGGGUCUCGGCAUUUUGGGGUCCCGGUGUUUUGGCUCCUGCAGUUUUGGGGUGUGGGGGUCCCAUAGCUUUGGGGUCCCCCAGUUUUGGGGUCCCGGCGUUUCAGGGCCCCAGCCUGGGGGUGUCCCGGAGUUUCAGCUCCCGUAGUUUCGGGGUCUGGGGGUCCCAUAGGGGUCCCUCAGUUUUGGGGGUCCCAUUUGGGGUCCCGACAUUUUGGGGUCCCGGCGUUUUGGGGCACCAGAGGGGGGGUCCCGAAGUUUCAUCUCCCACAGUUUCGGGGUCCGGGGGUCCCGUAGCUUUGGGGUCCCUCAGUUUUGGGGUCCCAAAGUUUCGUCUCCCACAGUUUUGGGGGUCCCGAAGUUUCAUCUCCCACAGUUUCGGGGUCCAGGGGUCCCGCAGCUUUGGGGUCCCUCAGUUUUGGGGUCCCAAAGUUUCGUCUCCCACAGUUUCGGGAUCCGGGGGUCCCAAAGCUUUGGGGUCCCAGAUUUUUGGGGUCCCUGCAUUUUGGGGUCCCUGCAUUUUGGGGUCCCGUUGUUUUGGGGUCCUGCUGUUUUGGGGUCCCAGCAUUUUGGGGUCCCAGCAUUUUGGGUCACCACCGGGGGGUUCCCAAACUUUCACCUCCCCCAAUUUCGUNNNNNNNNNNUCGAGAGGAAGAACCCCAAAAGUGAGGAGCAGGAGCCCCAAAUCCACGGGAUCCGAAAUCCACGGGAGCCUAAAUCCACGGACCCCAAAUCCACGGGAUUUCGAGGAGCAGGACCCCAAAUCCACGGGGUCCCCAAUCCACAGGACCCUGAGGAGCAGGAGCCCAAAACGCCAGGAUCCCAAAAAUCCGGGACCCCGAGCAGGAGGACCCCAAAUCCACGGGACCCCAAAUCCACGGGACCCUAAAGUUACGGGAUCUUGA